ensembl:lncRNA
GUGCUGGCUUGCAUUAUAAAAUGCAUUUUCUUUCUUUUUAUGGCCGCUUCAUUUUAUCUUCUAUAUAUAUAAUAUUAUUAAUAUACAUAUUGAAAUACUCUUUUCCUAUGGAUUACUUUGGUCAUAUUUUUCAUGUCAAUGACAGGGUACUCCACUGAUUUUUUUUUUUAAUGGCCACACCCCCGGCAUAUGGAAGUGGGCCAUAUGGGCCAGGGGUCGAAUCAGAACUGCAGCUCCCAGACUACGCCACAGCCACAGCAACAGCCACACCAGAUCUGAGCCUCAUCUGCAACCUAUGUUGCAGCUUGUGGCAAUGCUGGAUCCUUAACCCACUGAGUGAGUCCAGGGAUGGAACCCACAUCCUCAUGGAUACUAAUCAGGUCCUUAACCUGCUGAGCCACAAUGGGAACUCCUAAAAUGCAAUUACAAUAAAAGAUCUUGGUUUAAAAAAGUUUAAAAGCCAAGGAGCAAGACUUCAGGUCAGCUUAUUGAAUGUAAAGAGUAAGGAGUUGUAUAAAUCUGACCAUGUAGUGUCUCCUGAAUUCUACAUCAGCAUCUCAUAUCCUCCUUAAAAGCCAGGUCCCAGGAGUUCCCUGGUGGCCUAGUGGUUAAGGAGCUACCCUUCUGGUCACUGCUGUGGAGCAGGUUCAGUCCCUGGCACAGGAACUUCUGAAUCCUCUGAGGGCAUGGCUAAAUAAAAAAAACAAAACUAGGUCCUGGGUACCUUUCUGAAUUCCGUAUGCCUCUCUCCCCAGCAUAAAUCCUAUUUUCCAGCCUUUCCAAAUAAUGUAAUUGCAUAACCUUAGGAUACUGUUUCAUGCAGAAAUCGUUGCUCUUUCGCAAACUGAACAAGAUACUACAAAUCAAAACUUUUAGUGAUAAGUAAGAAAAGUCACAGGGUAAAGUAAAUUUUCUUUUUUUAAUGCAAACUCUGACUUCCUCCUUUCCGGAGUUUUUGCUUAAUUGGAUAUUCCCCCCACCCCGGCGGUAGGGGGGCCAAGAGGAGGCAGAAAACUUGCACUUGUUUUUGAGUUGGCUCCGUAUGUAAGUUUGAAGCACUUGGGGGCCCUUGAGGGUCCCCAUCUCUUUGUAUUAUAAAACAGAACUGAUCAGUUCUUUUUCUGUAAGGAUUUGCUUUUGCUGCUGGAUGAACAACAUCUUUUCCUGAAGUGGAGCUCAUUUUAUAACCUCUCUGUUUCCCGGCCUGCUAAGGUCAGGGAUAAUCCUUGACAACAAGAAAUGAACUUUCCGGUGACAAUCCCGCCUCCCUCAGAACAAACCCGAGCGUCUGUCUUGUGCACCCUCUCUGUCACCUCCCUGGGUUUUAUUUUAAUUGCCGUUCUCUCAAAAAGCGCAAUUCCUAUUCAAUUAUUCAUGGCAGUAUAAUGUUUGUGUGAUCAGAGUAAUUAUUAUAAUUACGCAUCGCGAAUUUUCAUAAUUAAUGACCUCACUCAGAUUUCAUUUGGCACAGAGUAUUUCCAGAGGGGAAUCAGAUGAUCAGGUCUCCUGGGGAAUCAGGGUGAAAUAGAGGGGCGACUUAUCUUGGGUUUGCUAAUAAGCAGUAGGAAUUCCAGGCAUUUGCCUCCAGGAGUGGGGGUAGGAGGCAUCUUGAGGAGACAUAGGUGGAAGGAUGGGAUCCAUUCCUCGGAGGGCAUCCGAAGCUCCGGCUCGGCAUCUCUCUCAACAAACCCCCUCAUGGGAAUGGUCCAAAAACAUCCUGGUAGAACAGCAAGAUGGUUGCCUUGGCACAUCCACAUGGCUCAUGUCCCGUGAUGCUUUUGACCAACACUGGUGCCUCCCUUCUCUCUGUGUCCAAACCUGUUAAAAACCACCUCACUAUACUCAAUGACAGCGAAAACCACCUCCCUCCCCCAGGACUCCCGAAGGCCAUUGCCAAAGACAUGAUGAUAGUUUUGCUCCCUUGAGUUUUGAAAAAGUAUAAAAUGCAAGCCACUUAGGGCCAUUGCCAGCAUGUAGAGAGACAUUUGAUGGUUGACAAUUGAUCCUAUAGUCAUAUUACAAAUGUUAAUGGUAAUGCCUCAGUUCCUUCAUCUUUGGCUUGAAUCUGCGGAACCAGUGUUUGCUGUAAGCCCCAAGGAAGUAUCUCGUGGAGCUCCUCCCAAAGACCUUCUGCCUCACACCAACUUGAGAGUAAGGCAGCUGCCCUUCCGCUUUACAGAUAGGACACUGACACCCACAGAGUCACAGAGACAGUCAACAGUGACCAUACUGAACUGCCGACAUCCGAGGCUUCCUCUGCAGCCUGCCCCCUUCAAUUCUCUACUGGAUGUGAUGGAACCCUUGACUUGAUCUGCAGGAUUUUUCCACCUUGUGCUUCUGGAUUCCAAGGGAUUUUUUUUUUUUUUUUUUUUUUGGCCAUGUCUGCCGCAUGCAUCAGUUCUCAGGCUAAGGAAUGAACCCAAGCCACAGCAGGGACAACGCUGGAUCCUUAACCGCUAGGCCACCAGGGAACUCCCCUUCAAGGAAUUUUUCACAUUUAAGCACCACCUCGGUAACAGUAAACUCAGUUUCCCUUGACCCCUCCUUCUUUAGCCAUACAGAGUAUUGCACUUUGCAAGUCAUGGCUGUCCAUCCCUCUGUCUCUCUGAAGAGACACUCUGUCAUUUCUUGAAGACAAGGACCUUUGCCGUGUUAAUUUCCCUAUCUCCAAGAUGCUGUGGAGUGAGGAUUCCAUGAAAAAUAAGAGUGAGAUACUUCUUAGGAGAAUGAAUACGCAUUGUUUUCCUCUGUUGCUCUCAUUCUCUCCCUUGCUUCCUUAUGUCUGAUCCUCUUUGUCUCUCCUUGUCACCUCUAUUUAUUGCAGGAGCACUGUAUUUUAGAGACUAUUGCAUGAUAUGAGCCCACACCCUGAACCCAGGGGAGAACCCACGGAGGGCUGAUCUGGUGUUCAGACCAGAGUUUGACAUUUGAGGUAUCAUAAUUAGGAUGCUUUGAGCUGCAGGUAAAAAACAGUUUUCAUGCCAUCUGGUACUAACUCCGAAAGUAGGGCAGUUCCCACCUCAACUGGUUCUGUGGCUUUUUGUUGCCCUUAAUGGUCAACACUUUUUUCUCUCUCCCACAUCAUCGUCUGGGAUGGCUUCAUACUGCAGCUGUUGUUCUCAAGGUCCCAGGAUAGUUGCCAAUGGCAUUCAAGGUACAUAGGUUUGUUUUUUGAUGGCUAGGAAGAAAGACUAGCUUUUCGGGGGCUUUCUUUCAACAAUGGGGGAGAACCAUGGCAGGAGUCCCCACUCUUCCUGAAUCGCUCAUCAAAUUAAAAACUCAGGGCCAUUCCUUAGCCAGUGCCAGGGAAGGGAGUUGGAUGACCUUAGAUGGAUUAGAACCAACCCUUGAAACCAAGCAUGGAGUUGGCCCUCGGUUAGGUCCAUGGCUAUGAUGGUGGCAAAGUGGAGGGGUGCAUAAAAUCAGGAUUAGGCAAGGAAUUAGUACUUGUCUUUAAAUUGGCUCGAAUUGACUCAUUUCUUGAACUUAGCAAUCAUACUUUUUUGUUUUUUUGUGGCUACCCUGUGGCACAUGGCAGUUCCUGGGCCAGGGACUGAAUCCAAGUGGAAGCUACAACCUGUGUCACAAUGGUGCAACAUGGAAUCCUUAACCCAGUGUGCCAGGCCGGGGAUUGAACCCACACCUUUGCAACUACCCGAGCUGCCUAUUCUUUCUUUUCUUUUCUUUUUUUUUUUUUUUUUUUUUUUUUUGUCUUUUUAGGGCCACACCUGAGGUAUAUAGAAGUUCCCAGGCUAGGGGCUGAAUCAAAGCUGCAGCUGCCGGCCUACAGCACAGCCACAGCAACGUAGCAUUUGAGCGAUGACUGACCUACACCACAGUUCAUGGCAACACCAGAUACUUAACCCACUGAGUGAGGCCAGGGAUUGAACCCACGUCCUCAUGGAUGCUAGUCGGAUUCAUUGCCACUGAGUCACCAUGGAAACUCCCAGAGCUGCUUAUUCUUAACCCACCGUGCCAUAGCAGGAACUCCAGCAGUCAUACUUUUUAAUUCUCAGUGUUUAAUAUACUUGGAAUCAUUUCUUCAAAUAGGUGUUGAAAUAAAUAGACAACAGUACAAAAUAAAAAAUAUUGGAGUUCCCCAGUGGAUCAGCAGGUUAAGGAUCAGGCAUUGUCACUGCUGUGGUGCAGGUUUGAUCCCUGGCCUGGGAAUUUAUGCAUGCUGUAGGUAUGGCCAAACAAAAAAGAUGUUUGUGUGCUGUUUUGGGAAUUACUGGAUUUAGACCAGACUUCCAAGCUUGCACAUAUUUCACUGAAACUCAUCCUGUGAUCUUUGGAUGGAAUGAAUCCUAUGUUUUUAUGGACAUGGGAGAUACAACUGUAAUUCUGCCGAGUAGGGUUUUUUUUUUUUUUUCAUUUUCUUUGAAAAAUAUUUUUUCCUAACUGCAGUGGACCUAUGUUAGUAUUUGCCUUUUUAAACUUUCAUGACUCCACAGAAAGAGUCAAGAGGUUGUUUGCAGGGGUUAGACUGGCUAGUGUUGUACUUGGCAUGGACGUGAAAAGAAGAGCAGCAAAUAGAAUAAAUAACUGCAGUGCAGGAGAUAAUAUAGUAUUGACUGCUUGCCUCUGGUUAAUUUUCUGUGCUGUGAACACCAGGCAGAGGCUGGGCUGGACAUGAUGGCCCCCCGUUGAUUUGGGGCCAGUUGCUGUGAAUAUUAUAGGUUUGUAAACUCAGAAGGGCUUUCGUGUGGAGCCAGAUUUAUUUAAAGUAAUAAAUGGAUUAUUGGAUUACUCCUCGGUCAUGCCUCUAAGUAAUUUACGGCCUCUAGCAUGGCUGCAAGUCUCUAAUAAGCUUCACCUCCCCAGGGUAGUGACUGUCUUGCCUUAAUUAAUGCAGGAUCCAUCCCCACCCCCAUUCUGUUCCUCCAUUGUUGGGUUAACCUUUAACUGGGGCUUGGGAAUGCUAGCUUAGAAGUCACCGUGGAUUUGAACUGAAAAGGUGGGGCUUUAAUUCUUAGCCUUUCCUUCUGCAGAGAAGUCCUUUUGGAGAGCAGAGAAAUAUCUGAUGGGCAUAUUGGGUUUUUUUUUAAAGGUUCCAUGUCUCAUCUGAAGUUUUUCCAACUGACACCCAUGUGAUGUGAAGGGAAAACCUCUCUGAGGGUUAUGAUUUGCUUUCAUUUUAAAACAUAAUCUUAAGCAGAGAGAAUGGAGGUUGCCAGGGGCUGGGCGGUGGGGGACAUGGGAGAUGUUGGACCAAGGGUACAAACUUCCAGUUGUAGGAGGCAUAAGUUCUGGGAUCUAAUGUACAGCCUGGGGACUAUAAUUAACAGCAGUGUAUUGGCGUUCCCAUUGUGGCUCAGUGGGUUAAGGACCCAACAUAGUGUCCGUGAGGAUGUGGGUUUGAUCCCUGGCCUCACUCAGUGGGUUAAGGAUCCUGCUUUGCCACAAGCUGCAGCAUCGGUGGCAGAUGCAGCUCGGAUCAGGUGUUGCUGUGGCUGUGGCAUCUAUAGGCCGGCAGCGGCAGCUCCGAUUUGACCUGUAGGCCUGGAACUUCCAUGUGCCACAGGUGCGGCCCUAAAAAGAAAAAAAAAGGAAAACACUGUAUCGUGGACUUGAAAGUUGCUAAGAGAGUAGAUCUUAAAUGUUCUCACUAAAAAAAAAAAAAAAAAAAAAAAAAA